UAGCUCAGUUGGUAGAGCAGCUGACUCUUAAUCAGCGGGCCCAGGGUUCGAGUCCCUG
rnacentral:tRNA from 1 species